rnacentral:sRNA from 1 species
GAGGUGGAAGGCCAUACAGAAUGGAGCCGUGAGUAUGGCCAGCCUCCAGCUCUCAGCCAGGAAGUCCCCAACCCCAAGGAAGGAAGAAACUGGAAAUUAGGAACUGCUUCCUCAUUUAACAAGUUCAGGCUUCAGAGAGCCCCUGGCGCCUGCAGGAACAUGGCAGAGGAGACGCCGUCUGUCUUCACAAAGUACGUCCUCCCUCCUUGCUGCCUCUUCCCACCAGCCUGACUUAUCCAGGGACAGAGCAGUAGGUGCCUGGCACUCCUCGAUGCCCAGUGAAACCAGACUGUGCUUCCCCACCCCCACCGCCAUGCCCCAUGCUCACUGGCUCAUUUCUUGGGAGGGCUUAGAGCUGGAUAAUAUAAGUUCCCUUGGA